CGGCUGCUCAGUAACACGUAGUUAACCUAACCUAUGGACGGGGAUAACCUCGGGAAACUGAGAAUAAUCCCCGACAGAUCACGGUGCCUGGAAUGGCCCGUGGUCCAAAUGAUUUAUCGCCGUAGGAUGGGACUGCGGCCUAUCAGCUAGUUGGUGAGGUAAUGGCCCACCAAGGCUAUAACAGGUACGGGCUCUGAGAGGAGGGGCCCGGAGAUGGGUACUGAGACACGGACCCAGGCCCUAUGGGGCGCAGCAGGCGAGAAACCUUUGCAAUGUGCGAAAGCACGACAAGGUUAAUCCGAGUGUCUCCUGCUAAAGGAGUCUUUUGCCGGUCAUAGAACCACCGGUGAAUAAGGGGUGGGCAAGUUCUGGUGUCAGCCGCCGCGGUAAAACCAGCACCUCGAGUGGUCAGGAGGUUUAUUGGGCCUAAAGCAUCCGUAGCCGGCUGCUCAAGUUUUCGGUUAAAUCUAUGCGCUCAACGUAUAGGCCGCCGAAAAUACUGGGCAGCUAGGGAGUGGGAGAGGUACACGGUACUCAAUAGGAAGGGGUAAAAUCCUUUGAUCUAUUGAUGACCACCUGUGGCGAAGGCGGUGUACCAGAACACGUUCGACGGUGAGGGAUGAAAGCUGGGGGAGCAAACCGGAUUAGAUACCCGGGUAGUCCCAGCUGUAAACGAUGCAGACUCGGUGAUGCAUUGGCUUGUGGCCAAUGCAGUGCCGCAGGGAAGCCGUUAAGUCUGCCGCCUGGGAAGUACGUACGCAAGUAUGAAACUUAAAGGAAUUGGCGGGGGAGCACCACAAGGGGUGAAGCCUGCGGGUUCAAUUGGAGUCAACGCCAGAAAUCUUACCUGGGGCG
rnacentral:rRNA from 1 species